rfam:Paenibacillus sp. FSL H7-0331 NODE_114_length_2954_cov_1.32049_ID_12273, whole genome shotgun sequence.
UCGGUCGUGAGGCCGAAUCUGAAGGAAGCCAGAGGCAAACCCUCGGUCUGACGAACAGAAAUCACAUAAUAAGGCAUGGUGAGACGGAUGAGCUUGCAUACCAAAGCAAAGUCCAAUACUGCCCGAAUCUCAUCAUGUAGAUGUGGCAGAUGGAUGAGGGGAAAGUUAUCGCU